rnacentral:rRNA from 1 species
AUUGAACGCUGGCGGCAGGCCUAACACAUGCAAGUCGAACGGCUGCACAGUGCUAGCUUCCGGUUACAGCGGCGGACUGGCGAGCGGUUCCUGGGAACCUCGGUGUUUACUUGUUCGUGCGUGCUAACAUGGGCACACAUACCCCAUUACCGCAGAGGGACUACGUGUGGGAGCAGCGGAUCUCCCGCUCUUAGGUGAUUGGAUGUUGGAUUGGCUAGUUAGCGGGGUAAAGGCCUACCAAGGCGACGAUCCGUAACUGGUCUGAGAGGAUGAUCAGACACACUGGAACUGAGACACGGUCCAGACUCCUACGGGAGGCAGCAGUGGGGAAUAUUGGACAAUGGGCGCAAGCCUGAUCCAGCCAUACCGCGUGUGUGAAGAAGGCCUUCGGAUUGUAAAGCCCUUUUGUUUGGAAAGAAAAGCAGCAGGUUAAUACCUCGCUGUUCUGACGGUACCAACAGAAUAAGCACCGGCUAACUUCGUG